rnacentral:rRNA from 1 species
GAGUUUGAUCCUGGCUCAGGAUGAACGCUGGCGGCGUGCCUAACACAUGCAAGUCGAACGGGGCUGCAUUUCGGUGCAGUUCAGUGGCGCACGGGUGCCUAACACGUAGCUCAUCUGCCCUCGGGUGGGGGAUAACGCGCCGAAAGGCGUGCUAAUACCGCAUACGCUCCACUUCUGUAGAGGGAGUGGAGGAAAGGUGCAAAUCGCCGGAGGAGGAGGCUGCGACCCAUCAGGUAGUUGGUGCGGUAACGGCGCACCAAGCCGACGACGGGUCGGGGGUCUGAGAGGAUGACCCCCCACACUGGGACUGAGACACGGCCCAGACUCCUACGGGAGGCAGCAGUGAGGGAUCUUGCGCAAUGGGGGCAACCCUGACGCAGCGACGCCGCGUGGGCGAUGAAGGCUUUCGGGUCGUAAAGCCCUUUUCCCACCGACGAGACAAGGACGGUACGUGGGGAACAAGUCUCGGCUAACUACGUGCCAGCAGCCGCGGUAAAACGUAGGAGGCGAGCGUUAUCCGGAGUUACUGGGCGUAAAGCGCGUGCAGGCGGUACGGCAAGUGACGGGUGAAAGCGUCCGGCUCAACCGGGCAAGCGCCGGUCAGACUGCCGCACUGGAAUGCCGGAGAGGGACGUGGAAUUCCGGGUGUAGCGGUGAAAUGUGCAGAGAUCCGGAGGAACACCAGCGCCGCAAGGGGCGUCCUGGACGGUGAUUGACGCUGAGACGCGACAGCGUGGGGAGCGAACCGGAUUAGAUACCCGGGUAGUCCACGCCGUAAACUAUGGACACUAGGUGUGGGG